UCUGAGAGUUUGUACCGCCAGCGUAACAUUUUCAAAGAAUUAUCUGUUGUGAUUAUGAACCUUUGGGAGGUUGUACCGCCAGCGUAACAUUUUCAGUUAAAUUUUAAGGGUUAUAUCAUUUUGUGUGUUCUGUAUUUACAUUACUUGUAUAAUUUACUAUUAAAUUAAGAACUUAAA